GCGCCCGUAGAUAAGUUGGCAUAGCGGUGGUGAGACGGUACCCCACGGUCCCGGGUUCAAGUCCCGGCGGUCGCU